rnacentral:rRNA from 1 species
AUCGAACGCUGGCGGCAGGCCUAACACAUGCAAGUAGAGCGGACGAAGGGUGCUUGCUCUUGGUUCACGCGGCGGACGGGUGUGUAAUGCGUUGGAUUACGCUUGGUUGUGCUGGAUAAUGUCCGGAGACGGGUGCUAAUAACGCAUACGACUUGCGGGUGAUAGUGGGUGUUCCUUGGACCUCUCGCUAUAAGAUCUGUUUAGGUGGGAUUAGUUGGUGGGUGGGGUAAAGGCCUACUAAGGCGACUAUCCGUUACUGGUCUGAGAGGAUGAUCAGCCACACUGGAACUGAGACACGGUCCGGACUCCUACGGGAGGCAGCAGAGGGGAAUAUUGGACAAUGGGCGAAAGCCUGAUCCAGCCAGGCCGCGUGUGUGAAGAAGGUCUUCGGAUUGUAAAGCCCGUUGUGUGGGAAGAAAGGGCAGUAGGUUAAUACCUUGCUGUUGUGACGUUACCAACAGAAUAAGCACCGGCUAACUUCGUG